rnacentral:rRNA from 1 species
CCUGUGAGGGUUGCUGGAGGUAUCAGAAGUGCGAAUGCUGACAUAAGUAACGAUAAAGCGGGUGAAAAGCCCGCUCGCCGGAAGACCAAGGGUUCCUGUCCAACGUUAAUCGGGGCAGGGUGAGUCGACCCCUAAGGCGAGGCCGAAAGGCGUAGUCGAUGGGAAACGGGUUAAUAUUCCCGUACUUGGUGUUACUGCGAAGGGGGGACGGAGAAGGCUAUGUUGGCCGGGCGACGGUUGUCCCGGUUUAAGCGUGUAGGUGUGUGUUCCAGGUAAAUCCGGUUCACUUUAACACUGAGGCGUGAUGACGAGGCACUACGGUGCUGAAGCAACAAAUGCCCUGCUUCCAGGAAAAGCCUCUAAGCAUCAGGUAACAUCAAAUCGUACCCCAAACCGACACAGGUGGUCAGGUAGAGAAUACCAAGGCGCUUGAGAGAACUCGGGUGAAGGAACUAGGCAAAAUGGUGCCGUAACUUCGGGAGAAGGCACGCUGACACGUAGGUGAAGUGAUUUACUCACGGAGCUGAAGUCAGUCGAAGAUACCAGCUGGCUGCAACUGUUUAUUAAAAACACAGCACUGUGCAAACACGAAAGUGGACGUAUACGGUGUGACGCCUGCCCGGUGCCGGAAGGUUAAUUGAUGGGGUCAGCGCAAGCGAAGCUCCUGAUCGAAGCCCCGGUAAACGGCGGCCGUAACUAUAACGGUCCUAAGGUAGCGAAAUUCCUUGUCGGGUAAGUUCCGACCUGCACGAAUGGCGUAAUGAUGGCCAGGCUGUCUCCACCCGAGACUCAGUGAAAUUGAACUCGCUGUGAAGAUGCAGUGUACCCGCGGCAAGACGGAAAGACCCCGUGAACCUUUACUAUAGCUUGACACUGAACAUUGAGCCUUGAUGUGUAGGAUAGGUGGGAGGCUUUGAAGCGUGGACGCCAGUCUGCGUGGAGCCGACCUUGAAAUACCACCCUUUAAUGUUUGAUGUUCUAACGUGGACCCGUAAUCCGGGUUGCGGACAGUGUCUGGUGGGUAGUUUGACUGGGGCGGUCUCCUCCUAAAGAGUAACGGAGGAGCACGAAGGUUGGCUAAUCCUGGUCGGACAUCAGGAGGUUAGUGCAAUGGCAUAAGCCAGCUUGACUGCGAGCGUGACGGCGCGAGCAGGUGCGAAAGCAGGUCAUAGUGAUCCGGUGGUUCUGAAUGGAAGGGCCAUCGCUCAACGGAUAAAAGGUACUCCGGGGAUAACAGGCUGAUACCGCCCAAGAGUUCAUAUCGACGGCGGUGUUUGGCACCUCGAUGUCGGCUCAUCACAUCCUGGGGCUGAAGUAGGUCCCAAGGGUAUGGCUGUUCGCCAUUUAAAGUGGUACGCGAGCUGGGUUUAGAACGUCGUGAGACAGUUCGGUCCCUAUCUGCCGUGGGCGCUGGAGAACUGAGGGGGGCUGCUCCUAGUACGAGAGGACCGGAGUGGACGCAUCACUGGUGUUCGGGUUGUCAUGCCAAUGGCACUGCCCGGUAGCUAAAUGCGGAAGAGAUAAGUGCUGAAAGCAUCUAAGCACGAAACUUGCCCCGAGAUGAGUUCUCCCUGAGACUUA